CCCAUGCAUGUCUAGUAUAGCAUUUAUACAGUGAACUGCGAUGCUCAUAAAUCAGUAUCGUUUAUUUGAUAGUCCUUUACUACAUGGUAUACUGUGGUAAUUCUAGAGCUAAUACAUGCUUAAAAUCUCGACCUCUGGAAGAGAUGUAUUUAUUAGAUAAAAAAUCAAUGUCUUCGGACUCUUUGAUGAUUCAUAAUAACUUUUCGAAUCGCAUGGCCUUGUGCUGGCGAUGGUUCAUUCAAAUUUCUGCCCUAUCAACUUUCGAUGGUAGGAUAGUGGCCUACCAUGGUUUCAACGGGUAACGGGGAAUAAGGGUUCGAUUCCGGAGAGGGAGCCUGAGAAACGGCUACCACAUCCAAGGAAGGCAGCAGGCGCGCAAAUUACCCAAUCCUAAUUCAGGGAGGUAGUGACAAUAAAUAACGAUACAGGGCCCAUUCGGGUCUUGUAAUUGGAAUGAGUACAAUGUAAAUACCUUAACGAGGAACAAUUGGAGGGCAAGUCUGGUGCCAGCAGCCGCGGUAAUUCCAGCUCCAAUAGCGUAUAUUAAAGUUGUUGCAGUUAAAAAGCUCGUAGUUGAACUUUGGGUCUGUUUGGCCGGUCCGAUUUUUUCGUGUACUGGAAUCCCAAGCGGACCUUUCCUUCUGGCUAACCUUGGGUCCUUGUGGCCCCUGGCGAACCAGGAUUUUUACUUUGAAAAAAUUAGAGUGUUCAAAGCAGGCGUAUUGCUCGAAUAUAUUAGCAUGGAAUAAUAGAAUAGGACGUUUGGUUCUAUUUUGUUGGUUUCUAGGACCAUCGUAAUGAUUAAUAGGGACGGUCGGGGGCAUCAGUAUUCAAAUGUCAGAGGUGAAAUUCUUGGAUUUUUUGAAGACUAACUACUGCGAAAGCAUUUGCCAAGGACGUUUUCAUUAAUCAAGAACGAAAGUUAGGGGAUCGAAGAUGAUCAGAUACCGUCGUAGUCUUAACCAUAAACUAUGCCGACUAGGGAUCA
rnacentral:rRNA from 1 species